AAUAUGUACCAGGAGUCAGUACACUGCAGGUAUCUGAAUACUGCUAGUAACUAUGAAUACUGCUAGUAACUAUUACACAAAUGUUAUAAAGACGUUUACAUUGAAGUUCAACACAUUUUAGCUAACAUGUUAUAGAUCACCAGCAAAGGAAGAGGGGAGGGAGAAACCAUGCAACAAUGUUUCCCAGAGGAAAUACUUGGAAGAUGCCAACAUACAGAAUGUGAAUCUCCGCUUCAUUGUUUGUUAGAACAUGCUGAAAGAGAAGACAUGGAUUCUGGCCAAAAUACAUUGUUUUUGUGUUCCAGUGUUGUAAUACUGGCAGUCUGAAGAAAGAGCUGUGUAAUGCAUAGGAUGUGCUAGUGCUAAAGGACAACUAACCAAUAAGACUGCAGGAUUUGAGACUCGCCCCUAUAUGCUGUUCUGUUUUCAGUUGCAGUCACAUGCAAAGUACAGAGCUCAUCUCCAUUAACAGAAAUACAGGAAGGAGAAACUAGCUUCUUUGGCAAACUGCCAUUUCAGAUGACUUGCAAUCUAGUGAGAAUGAAAUGUGAUGUUCUCUGCAAUUGGCCAAACACGAGAGAUGUCAUGCAAUGCCUGUUUUGAAAUGGUACAACUGUAUAUUUUCAUGUCUACCUGAUGAGGAAGAUGAAGAUGAUGAUCCCAAGAUAGCCUCAACACUGUCCUUCACUACUUUCUCUACCUACCUUCUAGUGUAGCAGUUAAACAAGGAGUUUGUUUGCACAAAAAAAAUGCCCUUCCCCUACCUUUCACACCUUAUGACUUCCUUUCUCUUUUUCCUUCUGCUUGCUGUUUCCAGUUUCUUACAUUCCUAUCUACCCCAUUUCUUCCACAUUUCUUUGACCAACAAGGCUGUCAGUUUGGUUCUGCAGCCACAUUAAUGUAUCUGUUGGCUACUAUUAUACCUCUUAACCUCUAAGCACAAGAAAUCUGGACAAAGCUGAAAAUAAUGGAGAGAUAAAACCACAAAAAUCUGAUCUGACACAAGUUGCCAUAAUGGUUAAGGUCUUUGCUUCCCAUGCGCAAAGUGUAAGGUUUCAUCUUGACGUCAGGCCAAUACUUGUUUGGAGUUUGCAUGCUCUCUGUGUCUUUGUGGGGGUCCUCCCACCUCUAAAAAACAUGUUGAGUGUUUUCAUCUCAAACUCACAAAAGAAUGGAGCUGUGGGCAGCAGCACAGACUCUGUAUGGUACCCUGUAGAUGGAAGAGUUGUAUAAAUCAACCUCUUUAAUGCACAGUAUCCUCAUGACAGGAGAACACAGAUUACAGACUGCAUGAUGUGGUGUAAUAUAUGGGUAUAGGUGAUCCAGUCAGGUUGACUAAUACCAAUGGGCAUGGGCAUAUGUCAUUGAUAAGUGACAUUAGUUUGUAAUUGCCAUCUAAGCUCCUGGUAUACCACAAAAUCAUCCACAGGUCCACCUCUCCACCCUAAAUCCACCUGAACAAUAAUUAAAAAUUUAAAUCUGUGAGAGAUUAUUUUCUAUAUGUUUGUAUAGUGCAUUCUUUCCAUCCUUUUUCUAAUGCCACUGUAUAUCCUGGUUUCAAUGAAACCACUUCUCUGUCUAGUCUUUUAAAAUUGAGAGCAGCUUUUUGUUUAAAAUUUAUUUAGAAACAUAAAGUAAUAAGUUUUAGAUUUUGCUGUGAGGAAAGGUUUUGUAUGUAUUAUUUGUUAUAUCAUGUUAUUGGUUAGAAAUGGAUGAUAUGUAUAGUAUUUAUGUAUGUAAUAGUCUAAUUUGUUGUAACAUCAGGCCUUAUAUUGGUUGUAUGGGGUUUUUAAACGGUCUCCAUGGCAAUAGAUUGGGGUGUUGGAUUAGUUACUUAAUUGAUUGCUCAACAAAUGUGAACAGUUGUUGUGAUGAGUUGUUCUGAAGAAGUCCUAUUGUACCAAGGAUGAAAGCACUUAAUAAAGAUACUUUAUGGAACUUA